rnacentral:rRNA from 1 species
GACGAACGCUGGCGGCGUGCCUAACACAUGCAAGUCGAGCGGGGGGAGUUCUUCGGAACAAACCUAGCGGCGGACGGGUGAGUAACACGUGGGUAACCUGCCUCAAAGCGGGGGAUAGCCUUCCGCAAGGAAGAUUAAUACCGCAUAAACCAUGAUUUCCGCAUGGAAGUAAUGGUAAAGAUUUAUCGCUUUGAGAUGGACCCGCGGCGCAUUAGCUAGUUGGUGAGGUAACGGCUCACCAAGGCCACGAUGCGUAGCCGACCUGAGAGGGUGAUCGGCCACAUUGGAACUGAGACACGGUCCAGACUCCUACGGGAGGCAGCAGUGGGGAAUAUUGCACAAUGGGCGAAAGCCUGAUGCAGCAACGCCGCGUGAGUGAUGAAGGCCUUCGGGUUGUAAAGCUCUGUCUUUUGGGACGAUAAUGACGGUACCAAAGGAGGAAGCCACGGCUAACUACGUGCCAGCCGCCGCAGUAAUAC